rnacentral:tRNA from 1 species
UCUAGUGGAUAAGACACCAGGCUGGUAAUCUGGGGGACGCAGGCUCGAGCCCGG